UGCUGAGCUGUGGGUCCCCAGGAACAAGUUUGAAAACCAUUGUCCUAAGCAAAUGGUGGUUUCAACUUGAUGGGUGGACAAAACUGGACCAAAUGGACCUGUGAAAAUAAGGACUGUUUCCAAACAGGUUUCCUAAACACUAGGGUUGACAGGGCUUCAAGUUUGACUCAUUUUCCAGUAUUAUCCCACAGGAGAAAGGCAAAGUCGUUCAAUCUGAAUGGGGAAUUGACCCACAGACGCUCUGUGUGACGGAUCCCAUGCCAGCAGACUUAGAGUAUGACACAAUUCACCCUUCCUCACAAUACAGACACAAUCAGUGACACAUUGACUCAUACAGUACACUUGAGACAACGAGAGUCAUUGUCCGGUGAUUAAUACCAAAAAUGUCAUCGUCACAAA